CAUAUCUCGUUGAAGCACCGGUUCUCGUUUGAUCACCGAAAUUAAGCAACGUCCAAUCUGGUCAUUACCUAGGUGAGUGACCGAUUGGGAAUAGCAGGUGCCGUAAGC